rnacentral:tRNA from 1 species
CCCUGGGUGGCUCAGUCGGUUGAGCAUCUGACUUUGGCUCAGGUCAUGAUCUCGCAGUCUGUGAGUUUGAGCCCCACAUCAGGCU